rnacentral:tRNA from 1 species
CAAGAAAUAGUUUAAUAAAAAUUUUAAUUUUGGAGAUUAAAGAAAGGGUUUAUCUCUUUUCUUGA